GGAGUUGUAGCUUAGUGGAAGAGCACUUGCCUAGCAUGUGUGAGGCACUGGGUUCAAUUCUCAGUAUCUCAU
rnacentral:tRNA from 1 species